rnacentral:rRNA from 1 species
GAUGGACGCUGGCGGCGUGCCUAAUACAUGCAAGUCGAGCGAACAGACGAGGAGCUUGCUCCUCUGACGUUAGCGGCGGACGGGUGAGUAACACGUGGAUAACCUACCUAUAAGACUGGGAUAACUUCGGGAAACCGGAGCUAAUACCGGAUAAUAUAUUGAACCGCAUGGUUCAAUAGUGAAAGACGGUUUUGCUGUCACUUAUAGAUGGAUCCGCGCCGCAUUAGCUAGUUGGUAAGGUAACGGCUUACCAAGGCAACGAUGCGUAGCCGACCUGAGAGGGUGAUCGGCCACACUGGAACUGAGACACGGUCCAGACUCCUACGGGAGGCAGCAGUAGGGAAUCUUCCGCGAAGGGCGAAAGCCUGACGGAGCAACGCCGCGUGAGUGAUGAAGGUCUUCGGAUCGUAAAACUCUGUUAUUAGGGAAGAACAAAUGUGUAAGUAACUAUGCACGUCUUGACGGUACCUAAUCAGAAAGCCACGGCUAACUACGUG